CAAUAGCGUAUACUAAAGUUGUUGCAGUUAAAAAGCUCGUAGUUGGAUUUCUGCAUGGAAGGAGCGGUCCACCCAUUGGGCGCGUACGGCUACCUUUGAUGCAUCUUUCUGAGGACGUGUUCUUCACUUAAUUGUGAGGGCGCAGGACUCAGGACAUUUACUUUGAGGAAAUGAGAGUGUUUCAAGCAGGCAAAUGCCUUGAAUACGUUAGCAUGGAAUAAUAGCAUCGGACCAUCGUCCAGCUGUUGGUGUCUGGGCGAAGGUAAAGGUGAAUAGGGAUUGUUGGGGGCAUUCGUAUUUAACUGUCAGAGGUGAAAUUCUUGGAUUUGUUGAAGACGGACCACUGCGAAAGCAUCUGCCAAAGAUGUUCUCAUUGA
rnacentral:rRNA from 1 species